rnacentral:rRNA from 1 species
UACGAAGGGGGCUAGCGUUGCUCGGAAUCACUGGGCGUAAAGGGUGCGUAGGCGGGUCUUUAAGUCAGGGGUGAAAUCCUGGAGCUCAACUCCAGAACUGCCUUUGAUACUGAGGAUCUUGAGUUCGGGAGAGGUGAGUAGAACUGCGAGUGUAGAGGUGAAAUUCGUAGAUAUUCGCAAGAACACCAGUGGCGAAGGCGGCUCACUGGCCCGAUACUGACGCUGAGGCACGAAAGCGUGGGGAGCAAACAGG